rnacentral:rRNA from 1 species
ACUCCUACGGGAGGCAGCAGUGGGGAAUUUUCCGCAAUGGGCGAAAGCCUGACGGAGCAACGCCGCGUGAGGGAUGAAGGCCUCUGGGCUGUAAACCUCUUUUAUCAAGGAAGAAGAUCUGACGGUACUUGAUGAAUAAGCCACGGCUAAUU